rnacentral:rRNA from 1 species
CGCGUAGGCGGUUUGAUAAGUGGGAUGUGAAAGCCCUGGGCUCAACCUGGGAACUGCAUUCCAAACUGUCAGGCUAGAGUAUGGUAGAGGGAGGUAGAAUUUCCUGUGUAGCGGUGAAAUGCGUAGAUAUAGGAAGGAAUACCGGUGGCGAAGGCGGCCUCCUGGACCAAUACUGACGCUGAGGUGCGAAAGCCGUGGGGAGCAAACA